CCCACAACCGAUACACACAUCUCAGCCUCUCUGCAUCUGCCCGCACAGCCGCACGUCUCUGACCGCCGUCUCUUAGCGCAACCGCCGGCUGCCACGAUGCCCGCCGCCGGCCGGCGCCGCCCACGGGCGCGGCGCACAUCAGUCCCUCCCUUCCCUAGUUCCCUUCAUCCAACGCCCCACCCGCACCACCACUCCUUAGCCGACCCACGCACGGACGCGCCCACGCAGCCGCGAGCAGGUUAGCCGGCGACGGCGGCGACCGUGCGAGGGCGAAGCAGUGAACUGCCAACUGGGAAAAUCCUUCUCUGAAUCCUUACAAGUUGCGAAGGUUACAAGUUGAGGUCUAGGCAGCCAUGGGCAAGGCCAGUCAGCGAAAAAUCGAUUUGGUUUUCAAAAGAAAAAGAGAUGAUGACAUGAUUGGAGUUGAGGAAGAUCCUUCACCAAUGGCAGAUCGACCUUUGACAAUGCUUGAAAUUGAACAGCCACACCCACACAGAGCCAAGAUGAAGGUCUUCAUGUAAAUGAACCUAUAACAUUCCAAGGUGUUUCUUUGUGACGCCAGCCUCGUUUCUUUGUGGGGGCCGCUGGUAUACGAUGACGCGCGUCAGGUGGCUCGUUCGGUGAUCCCUCGUGACGCCAACCUUGCCUCGUUUCUUUGUGGUUCAUCUUCGGAGUCGGAGCUGCGUUGUCUAAUGUGGAUUGUAUGGAGUGUUUUGUUGCAGCCAUUAGGGUUGAUGUUUUUCUUUUUCUUUUGAUCUUCAGAUCUCCUGGUCCUAGGACCUUCACCACCUUGUUGUUUCCGUUGCUUUCUGCUAUUAUCAAUGAAUGCCAGCGACGCUGGAUCUUU